rnacentral:rRNA from 1 species
UACGUAGGGUGCAAGCGUUGUCCGGAAUUAUUGGGCGUAAAGAGCGUGUAGGCGGCCAGGCAGGUCCGCUGUGAAAACUCGAGGCUCAACCUCGAGAGGUCGGUGGAAACCGUCUGGCUAGAGUCCGGAAGAGGAGAGUGGAAUUCCCGGUGUAGCGGUGAAAUGCGCAGAUAUCGGGAAGAACACCCGUGGCGAAGGCGGCUCUCUGGGACGGUACUGAUGCUGAGACGCGAAAGCGUGGGGAGCGAACAGG